GAUGAACGCUGGCGGCGUGCCUAAUACAUGCAAGUCGAGCGAACGGACGAGAAGCUUGCUUCCCUGAUGUUAGCGGCGGACGGGUGAGUAACACGUGGAUAACCUACCUAUAUGACUGGGAUAACUUCGGGAAACCGGAGCUAAUACCGGAUAAUAUUUUGAACCGCAUGGUUCAAUAGUGAAUGACGGUCUUGCUGUCUCUUAUAGAUGGUUCCGCGCUGCAUUAGCUAGUUGGUAAGGUAACGGCUUACCAAGGCAACGAUGCAUAGCCGACCUGAGAGGGUGAUCGGCCACACUGGAACUGAGACACGGUCCAGACUCCUAAGGGAGGCAGCAGUAGGGAAUCUUCCGCAAUGGGCGAAAGCCUGACGGAGCGACGCCGCGUGAGUGAUGAAGGUCUUCGGAUCGUAAAACUCUGUUAUUAGGGAAGAACAGAUGUGUAAGUAACUGUGGACAUCUUGACGGUACCUAAUCAGAAAGCCACGGCUAACUACGUG
rnacentral:rRNA from 1 species